rnacentral:lncRNA from 1 species
UGGGCAUAGUGUGUCUUUGAAGCCACUAUGUUUUCUGCACUUGUGACUAGAGAGCACCUUGAUAGCUCAGUUGUUAGAGCGGUGGACUGUAAGAUCCUCCUUGUGUGAAACGCUGUGAUCCUAAGGUCGCUGGUUCAACUCCACCUCCAAGCACCUCCUUGUCAUUGGAAAUACCCCCAAGCCUUGUCUUUAUCUGUCAACUCCUCCAAAAUGUCAAAACACAAACAAGAUAACUCUUUCUUAAAUUUUCAACCAUCAAUUUUUUAUUCACCCAGACUAAAAGUCCUGAUUAUCAGUUCUGGGUCCCUGGCAAUGACUGUUGGGUACAAACUGCAAAGCUUUGUUCUGCAGGUAGGGCUGGGCUUUUCAUUGACCAUGGGUUGGAAUAGUUCUGUGGGCAUAGUGUGUCUUCGAAGCCACUAUGUUUUCUGCACUUGUGACUAGAGAGCACCUUGAUAGCUCAGUUGGUAGAGCGGUGGACUGUAAGAUGCUCCUUGUGUGAAACGCCGUGAUCCUAAGCUCGCUGGUUCAACUCCAGCUCCAAGCACCUCCUUGUCAUUGGAAAUACCCCCAAGCCUUGUCUUUAUCUGUCAACUCCUCCAAAAUGUCAAAACACAAAGAAGAUAACUCUUUCUUAAAUUUUCAACCAUCAAUUUUUUAUUCACUCAGCCUAAAAGUCCUGAUUAUCAGUUCUGGGUCCCUGGCAAUGACUGUUGGGUACAAACUGCAAAGCUUUGUUCUGCAGGUAGGGCUGGGCUUUUCAUUGACCAUGGGUUGGAAUAGUUCUGUGGGCAUAGUGUGUCUUCGAAGCCACUAUGUUUUCUGCACUUGUGACUAGAGAGCACCUUGAUAGCUCAGUUGGUAGAGCGGUGGACUGUAAGAUGCUCCUUGUGUGAAACGCUGUGAUCCUAAGGUCGCUGGUUCAACUCCAGCUCCAAGCACCUCCUUGUCAUUGGAAAUACCCCCAAGCCUUGUCUUUAUCUGUCAACUCCUCCAAAAUGUCAAAACACAAAGAAGAUAACUCUUUCUUAAAUUUUCAACCAUCAAUUUUUUAUUCACCCAGACUAAAAGUCCUGAUUAUCAGUUCUGGGUCCCUGGCAAUGACUGUUGGGUACAAACUGCAAAGCUUUGUUCUGCAGGUAGGGCUGGGCUUUUCAUUGACCAUGGGUUGGAAUAGUUCUGUGGGCAUAGUGUGUCUUCGAAGCCACUAUGUUUUCUGCACUUGUGACUAGAGAGCACCUUGAUAGCUCAGUUGGUAGAGCGGUGGACUGUAAGAUGCUCCUUGUGUGAAACGCUGUGAUCCUAAGGUCGCUGGUUCAACUCCAGCUCCAAGCACCUCCUUGUCAUUGGAAAUACCCCCAAGCCUUGUCUUUAUCUGUCAACUCCUCCAAAAUGUCAAAACACAAAGAAGAUAACUCUUUCUUAAAUUUUCAACCAUUAAUUUUUUAUUCGCCCAGCCUAAAAGUCCUGAUUAUCAGUUCUGGGUCCCUGGCAAUGACUGUUGGGUACAAACUGCAAAGCUUUGUUCUGCAGGUAGGGCUGGGCUUUUCAUUGACCAUGGGUUGGAAUAGUUCUGUGGGCAUAGUGUGUCUUCGAAGCCACUAUGUUUUCUGCACUUGUGACUAGAGAGCACCUUGAUAGCUCAGUUGGUAGAGCGGUGGACUGUAAGAUGCUCCUUGUGUGAAACGCUGUGAUCCUAAGGUCGCUGGUUCAACUCCAGCUCCAAGCACCUCCUUGUCAUUGGAAAUACCCCCAAGCCUUGUCUUUAUCUGUCAACUCCUCCAAAAUGUCAAAACACAAAGAAGAUAACUCUUUCUUAAAUUUUCAACCAUCAAUUUUUUAUUCACUCAGCCUAAAAGUCCUGAUUAUCAGUUCUGGGUCCCUGGCAAUGACUGUUGGGUACAAACUGCAAAGCUUUGUUCUGCAGGUAGGGCUGGGCUUUUCAUUGACCAUGGGUUGGAAUAGUUCUGUGGGCAUAGUGUGUCUUCGAAGCCACUAUGUUUUCUGCACUUGUGACUAGAGAGCACCUUGAUAGCUCAGUUGGUAGAGCGGUGGACUGUAAGAUCCUCCUUGUGAGAAACGCUGUGAUCCUAAGGUCGCUGGUUCAACUCCAGCUCCAAGCACCUCCUUGUCAUUGGAAAUACCCCCAAGCCUUGUUUUUAUCUGUCAACUCCUCCAAAAUGUCAAAACACAAACAAGAUAACUCUUUCUUAAAUUUUCAACCAUCAAUUUUUUAUUCACCCAGCCUAAAAGUCCUGAUUAUCAGUUCUGGGUCCCUGGCAAUGACUGUUGGGUACAAACUGCAAAGCUUUGUUCUGCAGGUAGGGCUGGGCUUUUCAUUGACCAUGGGUUGGAAUAGUUCUGUGGGCAUAGUGUGUCUUCGAAGCCACUAUGUUUUCUGCACUUGUGACUAGAGAGCACCUUGAUAGCUCAGUUGGUAGAGCGGUGGCCUGUAAGAUGCUCCUUGUGUGAAACGCCGUGAUCCUAAGGUCGCUGGUUCAACUCCAGCUCCAAGCACCUCCUUGUCAUUGGAAAUACCCCCAAGCCUUGUCUUUAUCUGUCAACUCCUCCAAAAUGUCAAAACACAAACAAGAUAACUCUUUCUUAAAUUUUCAACCAUCAAUUUUUUAUUCACUCAGCCUAAAAGUCCUGAUUAUCAGUUCUGGGUCCCUGGCAAUGACUGUUGGGUACAAACUGCAAAGCUUUGUUCUGCAGGUAGGGCUGGGCUUUUCAUUGACCAUGGGUUGGAAUAGUUCUGUGGGCAUAGUGUGUCUUCGAAGCCACUAUGUUUUCUGCACUUGUGACUAGAGAGCACCUUGAUAGCUCAGUUGGUAGAGCGGUUGACUGUAAGAUGCUCCUUGUGUGAAACGCUGUGAUCCUAAGGUCGCUGGUUCAACUCCAGCUCCAAGCACCUCCUUGUCAUUGGAAAUACCCCCAAGCCUUGUCUUUAUCUGUCAACUCCUCCAAAAUGUCAAAACACAAAGAAGAUAACUCUUUCUUAAAUUUUCAACCAUCAAUUUUUUAUUCACUCAGCCUAAAAGUCCUGAUUAUCAGUUCUGGGUCCCUGGCAAUGACUGUUGGGUACAAACUGCAAAGCUUUGUUCUGCAGGUAGGGCUGGGCUUUUCAUUGACCAUGGGUUGGAAUAGUUCUGUGGGCAUAGUGUGUCUUCGAAGCCACUAUGUUUUCUGCACUUGUGACUAGAUAGCACCUUGAUAGCUCAGUUGGUAGAGCGGUGGACUGUAAGAUGCUCCUUGUGUGAAACGCUGUGAUCCUAAGGUCGCUGGUUCAACUCCAGCUCCAAGCACCUCCUUGUCAUUGGAAAUACCCCCAAGCCUUGUCUUUAUCUGUCAACUCCUCCAAAAUGUCAAAACACAAACAAGAUAACUCUUUCUUAAAUUUUCAACCAUCAAUUUUUUAUUCACCCAGCCUAAAAGUCCUGAUUAUCAGUUCUGGGUCCCUGGCAAUGACUGUUGGGUACAAACUGCAAAGCUUUGUUCUGCAGGUAGGGCUGGGCUUUUCAUUGACCAUGGGUUGGAAUAGUUCUGUGGGCAUAGUGUGUCUUCGAAGCCACUAUGUUUUCUGCACUUGUGACUAGAGAGCACCUUGAUAGCUCAGUUGGUAGAGCGGUGGCCUGUAAGAUGCUCCUUGUGUGAAACGCCGUGAUCCUAAGGUCGCUGGUUCAACUCCAGCUCCAAGCACCUCCUUGUCAUUGGAAAUACCCCCAAGCCUUGUCUUUAUCUGUCAACUCCUCCAAAAUGUCAAAACACAAACAAGAUAACUCUUUCUUAAAUUUUCAACCAUCAAUUUUUUAUUCACCCAGCCUAAAAGUCCUGAUUAUCAGUUCUGGGUCCCUGGCAAUGACUGUUGGGUACAAACUGCAAAGCUUUGUUCUGCAGGUAGGGCUGGGCUUUUCAUUGACCAUGGGUUGGAAUAGUUCUGUGGGCAAAGUGUGUCUUCGAAGCCACUAUGUUUUCUGCACUUGUGACUAGAGAGCACCUUGAUAGCUCAGUUGGUAGAGCGGUGGACUGUAAGAUCCUCCUUGUGUGAAACGCCGUGAUCCUAAGGUCGCUGGUUCAACUCCAGCUCCAAGCACCUCCUUGUCAUUGGAAAUACCCCCAAGCCUUGUCUUUAUCUGUCAACUCCUCCAAAAUGUCAAAACACAAACAAGAUAACUCUUUCUUAAAUUUUCAACCAUCAAUUUUUUAUUCACCCAGCCUAAAAGUCCUGAUUAUCAGUUCUGGGUCCCUGGCAAUGACUGUUGGGUACAAACUGCAAAGCUUUGUUCUGCAGGUAGGGCUGGGCUUUUCAUUGACCAUGGGUUGGAAUAGUUCUGUGGGCAUAGUGUGUCUUUGAAGCCACUAUGUUUUCUGCACUUGUGACUAGAGAGCACCUUGAUAGCUCAGUUGUUAGAGCGGUGGACUGUAAGAUCCUCCUUGUGUGAAACGCUGUGAUCCUAAGGUCGCUGGUUCAACUCCACCUCCAAGCACCUCCUUGUCAUUGGAAAUACCCCCAAGCCUUGUCUUUAUCUGUCAACUCCUCCAAAAUGUCAAAACACAAACAAGAUAACUCUUUCUUAAAUUUUCAACCAUCAAUGUUUUAUUCACCCAGCCUAAAAGUCCUGAUUAUCAGUUCUGGGUCCCUGGCAAUGACUGUUGGGUACAAACUGCAAAGCUUUGUUCUGCAGGUAGGGCUGGGCUUUUCAUUGACCAUGGGUUGGAAUAGUUCUGUGGGCAUAGUGUGUCUUCGAAGCCACUAUGUUUUCUGCACUUGUGACUAGAGAGCACCUUGAUAGCUCAGUUGGUAGAGCGGUGGACUGUAAGAUGCUCCUUGUGUGAAACGCCGUGAUCCUAAGGUCGCUGGUUCAACUCCAGCUCCAAGCACCUCCUUGUCAUUGGAAAUACCCCCAAGCCUUGUCUUUAUCUGUCAACUCCUCCAAAAUGUCAAAACACAAAGAAGAUAACUCUUUCUUAAAUUUUCAACCAUCAAUUUUUUAUUCACUCAGCCUAAAAGUCCUGAUUAUCAGUUCUGGGUCCCUGGCAAUGACUGUUGGGUACAAACUGCAAAGCUUUGUUCUGCAGGUAGGGCUGGGCUUUUCAUUGACCAUGGGUUGGAAUAGUUCUGUGGGCAUAGUGUGUCUUCGAAGCCACUAUGUUUUCUGCACUUGUGACUAGAGAGCACCUUGAUAGCUCAGUUGGUAGAGCGGUGGACUGUAAGAUGCUCCUUGUGUGAAACGCUGUGAUCCUAAGGUCGCUGGUUCAACUCCAGCUCCAAGCACCUCCUUGUCAUUGGAAAUACCCCCAAGCCUUGUCUUUAUCUGUCAACUCCUCCAAAAUGUCAAAACACAAAGAAGAUAACUCUUUCUUAAAUUUUCAACCAUUAAUUUUUUAUUCGCCCAGCCUAAAAGUCCUGAUUAUCAGUUCUGGGUCCCUGGCAAUGACUGUUGGGUACAAACUGCAAAGCUUUGUUCUGCAGGUAGGGCUGGGCUUUUCAUUGACCAUGGGUUGGAAUAGUUCUGUGGGCAUAGUGUGUCUUCGAAGCCACUAUGUUUUCUGCACUUGUGACUAGAGAGCACCUUGAUAGCUCAGUUGGUAGAGCGGUGGACUGUAAGAUGCUCCUUGUGUGAAACGCUGUGAUCCUAAGGUCGCUGGUUCAACUCCAGCUCCAAGCACCUCCUUGUCAUUGGAAAUACCCCCAAGCCUUGUCUUUAUCUGUCAACUCCUCCAAAAUGUCAAAACACAAACAAGAUAACUCUUUCUUAAAUUUUCAACCAUCAAUUUUUUAUUCACUCAGCCUAAAAGUCCUGAUUAUCAGUUCUGGGUCCCUGGCAAUGACUGUUGGGUACAAACUGCAAAGCUUUGUUCUGCAGGUAGGGCUGGGCUUUUCAUUGACCAUGGGUUGGAAUAGUUCUGUGGGCAUAGUGUGUCUUCGAAGCCACUAUGUUUUCUGCACUUGUGACUAGAGAGCACCUUGAUAGCUCAGUUGGUAGAGCGGUGGACUGUAAGAUGCUCCUUGUGUGAAACGCUGUGAUCUUAAGGUCGCUGGUUCAACUCCAGCUCCAAGCACCUCCUUGUCAUUGGAAAUACCCCCAAGCCUUGUCUUUAUCUGUCAACUCCUCCAAAAUGUCAAAACACAAAGAAGAUAACUCUUUCUUAAAUUUUCAACCAUUAAUUUUUUAUUCGCCCAGCCUAAAAGUCCUGAUUAUCAGUUCUGGGUCCCUGGCAAUGACUGUUGGGUACAAACUGCAAAGCUUUGUUCUGCAGGUAGGGCUGGGCUUUUCAUUGACCAUGGGUUGGAAUAGUUCUGUGGGCAUAGUGUGUCUUCGAAGCCACUAUGUUUUCUGCACUUGUGACUAGAGAGCACCUUGAUAGCUCAGUUGGUAGAGCGGUGGACUGUAAGAUGCUCCUUGUGUGAAACGCUGUGAUCCUAAGGUCGCUGGUUCAACUCCAGCUCCAAGCACCUCCUUGUCAUUGGAAAUACCCCCAAGCCUUGUCUUUAUCUGUCAACUCCUCCAAAAUGUCAAAACACAAACAAGAUAACUCUUUCUUAAAUUUUCAACCAUCAAUUUUUUAUUCACUCAGCCUAAAAGUCCUGAUUAUCAGUUCUGGGUCCCUGGCAAUGACUGUUGGGUACAAACUGCAAAGCUUUGUUCUGCAGGUAGGGCUGGGCUUUUCAUUGACCAUGGGUUGGAAUAGUUCUGUGGGCAUAGUGUGUCUUCGAAGCCACUAUGUUUUCUGCACUUGUGACUAGAGAGCACCUUGAUAGCUCAGUUGGUAGAGCGGUGGACUGUAAGAUGCUCCUUGUGUGAAACGCUGUGAUCCUAAGGUCGCUGGUUCAACUCCAGCUCCAAGCACCUCCUUGUCAUUGGAAAUACCCCCAAGCCUUGUCUUUAUCUGUCAACUCCUCCAAAAUGUCAAAACACAAAGAAGAUAACUCUUUCUUAAAUUUUCAACCAUCAAUUUUUUAUUCACUCAGCCUAAAAGUCCUGAUUAUCAGUUCUGGGUCCCUGGCAAUGACUGUUGGGUACAAACUGCAAAGCUUUGUUCUGCAGGUAGGGCUGGGCUUUUCAUUGACCAUGGGUUGGAAUAGUUCUGUGGGCAUAGUGUGUCUUCGAAGCCACUAUGUUUUCUGCACUUGUGACUAGAGAGCACCUUGAUAGCUCAGUUGGUAGAGCGGUGGACUGUAAGAUGCUCCUUGUGUGAAACGCUGUGAUCCUAAGGUCGCUGGUUCAACUCCAGCUCCAAGCACCUCCUUGUCAUUGGAAAUACCCCCAAGCCUUGUCUUUAUCUGUCAACUCCUCCAAAAUGUCGAAACACAAACAAGAUAACUCUUUCUUAAAUUUUCAACCAUCAAUUUUUUAUUCACCCAGCCUAAAAGUCCUGAUUAUCAGUUCUGGGUCCCUGGCAAUGACUGUUGGGUACAAACUGCAAAGCUUUGUUCUGCAGGUAGGGCUGGGCUUUUCAUUGACCAUGGGUUGGAAUAGUUCUGUGGGCAUAGUGUGUCUUCGAAGCCACUAUGUUUUCUGCACUUGUGACUAGAGAGCACCUUGAUAGCUCAGUUGGUAGAGCGGUGGACUGUAAGAUGCUCCUUGUGUGAAACGCUGUGAUCCUAAGGUCGCUGGUUCAACUCCAGCUCCAAGCACCUCCUUGUCAUUGGAAAUACCCCCAAGCCUUGUCUUUAUCUGUCAACUCCUCCAAAAUGUCAAAACACAAAGAAGAUAACUCUUUCUUAAAUUUUCAACCAUCAAUUUUUUAUUCACUCAGCCUAAAAGUCCUGAUUAUCAGUUCUGGGUCCCUGGCAAUGACUGUUGGGUACAAACUGCAAAGCUUUGUUCUGCAGGUAGGGCUGGGCUUUUCAUUGACCAUGGGUUGGAAUAGUUCUGUGGGCAUAGUGUGUCUUCGAAGCCACUAUGUUUUCUGCACUUGUGACUAGAGAGCACCUUGAUAGCUCAGUUGGUAGAGCGGUGGACUGUAAGAUGCUCCUUGUGAGAAACGCUGUGAUCCUAAGGUCGCUGGUUCAACUCCAGCUCCAAGCACCUCCUUGUCAUUGGAAAUACCCCCAAGCCUUGUCUUUAUCUGUCAACUCCUCCAAAAUGUCAAAACACAAACAAGAUAACUCUUUCUUAAAUUUUCAACCAUCAAUUUUUUAUUCACCCAGCCUAAAAGUCCUGAUUAUCAGUUCUGGGUCCCUGGCAAUGACUGUUGGGUACAAACUGCAAAGCUUUGUUCUGCAGGUAGGGCUGGGCUUUUCAUUGACCAUGGGUUGGAAUAGUUCUGUGGGCAUAGUGUGUCUUCGAAGCCACUAUGUUUUCUGCACUUGUGACUAGAGAGCACCUUGAUAGCUCAGUUGGUAGAGCGGUGGCCUGUAAGAUGCUCCUUGUGUGAAACGCCGUGAUCCUAAGGUCGCUGGUUCAACUCCAGCUCCAAGCACCUCCUUGUCAUUGGAAAUACCCCCAAGCCUUGUCUUUAUCUGUCAACUCCUCCAAAAUGUCAAAACACAAAGAAGAUAACUCUUUCUUAAAUUUUCAACCAUCAAUUUUUUAUUCACUCAGCCUAAAAGUCCUGAUUAUCAGUUCUGGGUCCCUGGCAAUGACUGUUGGGUACAAACUGCAAAGCUUUGUUCUGCAGGUAGGGCUGGGCUUUUCAUUGACCAUGGGUUGGAAUAGUUCUGUGGGCAUAGUGUGUCUUCGAAGCCACUAUGUUUUCUGCACUUGUGACUAGAGAGCACCUUGAUAGCUCAGUUGGUAGAGCGGUUGACUGUAAGAUGCUCCUUGUGUGAAACGCUGUGAUCCUAAGGUCGCUGGUUCAACUCCAGCUCCAAGCACCUCCUUGUCAUUGGAAAUACCCCCAAGCCUUGUCUUUAUCUGUCAACUCCUCCAAAAUGUCAAAACACAAAGAAGAUAACUCUUUCUUAAAUUUUCAACCAUCAAUUUUUUAUUCACUCAGCCUAAAAGUCCUGAUUAUCAGUUCUGGGUCCCUGGCAAUGACUGUUGGGUACAAACUGCAAAGCUUUGUUCUGCAGGUAGGGCUGGGCUUUUCAUUGACCAUGGGUUGGAAUAGUUCUGUGGGCAUAGUGUGUCUUCGAAGCCACUAUGUUUUCUGCACUUGUGACUAGAUAGCACCUUGAUAGCUCAGUUGGUAGAGCGGUGGACUGUAAGAUGCUCCUUGUGUGAAACGCUGUGAUCCUAAGGUCGCUGGUUCAACUCCAGCUCCAAGCACCUCCUUGUCAUUGGAAAUACCCCCAAGCCUUGUCUUUAUCUGUCAACUCCUCCAAAAUGUCAAAACACAAACAAGAUAACUCUUUCUUAAAUUUUCAACCAUCAAUUUUUUUAUUCACCCAGCCUAAAAGUCCUGAUUAUCAGUUCUGGGUCCCUGGCAAUGACUGUUGGGUACAAACUGCAAAGCUUUGUUCUGCAGGUAGGGCUGGGCUUUUCAUUGACCAUGGGUUGGAAUAGUUCUGUGGGCAUAGUGUGUCUUCGAAGCCACUAUGUUUUCUGCACUUGUGACUAGAGAGCACCUUGAUAGCUCAGUUGGUAGAGCGGUGGCCUGUAAGAUGCUCCUUGUGUGAAACGCCGUGAUCCUAAGGUCGCUGGUUCAACUCCAGCUCCAAGCACCUCCUUGUCAUUGGAAAUACCCCCAAGCCUUGUCUUUAUCUGUCAACUCCUCCAAAAUGUCAAAACACAAACAAGAUAACUCUUUCUUAAAUUUUCAACCAUCAAUUUUUUAUUCACCCAGCCUAAAAGUCCUGAUUAUCAGUUCUGGGUCCCUGGCAAUGACUGUUGGGUACAAACUGCAAAGCUUUGUUCUGCAGGUAGGGCUGGGCUUUUCAUUGACCAUGGGUUGGAAUAGUUCUGUGGGCAAAGUGUGUCUUCGAAGCCACUAUGUUUUCUGCACUUGUGACUAGAGAGCACCUUGAUAGCUCAGUUGGUAGAGCGGUGGACUGUAAGAUGCUCCUUGUGUGAAACGCCGUGAUCCUAAGGUCGCUGGUUCAACUCCAGCUCCAAGCACCUCCUUGUCAUUGGAAAUACCCCCAAGCCUUGUCUUUAUCUGUCAACUCCUCCAAAAUGUCAAAACACAAACAAGAUAACUCUUUCUUAAAUUUUCAACCAUCAAUUUUUUAUUCACCCAGCCUAAAAGUCCUGAUUAUCAGUUCUGGGUCCCUGGCAAUGACUGUUGGGUACAAACUGCAAAGCUUUGUUCUGCAGGUAGGGCUGGGCUUUUCAUUGACCAUGGGUUGGAAUAGUUCUGUGGGCAUAGUGUGUCUUUGAAGCCACUAUGUUUUCUGCACUUGUGACUAGAGAGCACCUUGAUAGCUCAGUUGUUAGAGCGGUGGACUGUAAGAUCCUCCUUGUGUGAAAAGCUGUGAUCCUAAGGUCGCUGGUUCAACUCCACCUCCAAGCACCUCCUUGUCAUUGGAAAUACCCCCAAGCCUUGUCUUUAUCUGUCAACUCCUCCAAAAUGUCAAAACACAAAGAAGAUAACUCUUUCUUAAAUUUUCAACCAUCAAUUUUUUAUUCACCCAGCCUAAAAGUCCUGAUUAUCAGUUCUGGGUCCCUGGCAAUGACUGUUGGGUACAAACUGCAAAGCUUUGUUCUGCAGGUAGGGCUGGGCUUUUCAUUGACCAUGGGUUGGAAUAGUUCUGUGGGCAAAGUGUGUCUUCGAAGCCACUAUGUUUUCUGCACUUGUGACUAGAGAGCACCUUGAUAGCUCAGUUGGUAGAGCGGUGGACUGUAAGAUGCUCCUUGUGUGAAACGCCGUGAUCCUAAGGUCGCUGGUUCAACUCCAGCUCCAAGCACCUCCUUGUCAUUGGAAAUACCCCCAAGCCUUGUCUUUAUCUGUCAACUCCUCCAAAAUGUCAAAACACAAACAAGAUAACUCUUUCUUAAAUUUUCAACCAUCAAUUUUUUAUUCACCCAGCCUAAAAGUCCUGAUUAUCAGUUCUGGGUCCCUGGCAAUGACUGUUGGGUACAAACUGCAAAUCUUUGUUCUGCAGGUAGGGCUGGGCUUUUCAUUGACCAUGGGUUGGAAUAGUGCUGUGGGCAUAGUGUGUCUUCGAAGCCACUAUGUUUUCUGCACUUGUGACUAGAGAGCACCUUGAUAGCUCAGUUGGUAGAGCGGUGGACUGUAAGAUGCUGCUUCUGUGAAACGCUGUGAUCCUAAGGUCGCUUGUUCAACUCCAGCUCCAAGCACCUCCUUGACAUUGGAAAUACCCCCAAGCCUUGUCUUUAUCUGUCAACUCCUCCAAAAUGUCAAAACACAAAGAAGAUAACUCUUUCUUAAAUUUUCAACCAUCAAUUUUUUAUUCACCCAGCAACUUGAUAGCUCAGUUGGUAGAGCGGUGGACUGUAAGAUGCUGCUUCUGUGAAACGCUGUGAUCCUAAGGGCGCUGGUUCAACUCCAGCUCCAAGCACCUCCUUGUCAUUGGAAAUACCCCCAAGCCUUGUCUUUAUCUGUCAACUCCUCCAAAAUGUCAAAACACAAAGAAGAUAACUCUUUCUUAAAUUUUCAACCAUCAAUUUUUUAUUCACCCAGCCUAAAAGUCCUGAUUAUCAGUUCUGGGUCCCUGGCAAUGACUGUUGGGUACAAACUGCAAAGCUUUGUUCUGCAGGUAGGGCUGGGCUUUUCAUUGACCAUGGGUUGGAAUAGUUCUGUGGGCAUAGUGUGUCUUCGAAGCCACUAUGUUUUCUGCACUUGUGACUAGAGAGCACCUUGAUAGCUCAGUUGGUAGAGCGGUGGACUGUAAGAUGCUCCUUGUGUGAAACGCCGUGAUCCUAAGGUCGCUGGUUCAACUCCAGCUCUCAAGCACCUCCUUGUCAUUGGAAAUACCCCCAAGCCUUGUCUUUAUCUGUCAACUCCUCCAAAAUGUCAAAACACAAAGAAGAUAACUCUUUCUUAAAUUUUCAACCAUCAAUUUUUUAUUCACCCAGCCUAAAAGUCCUGAUUAUCAGUUCUGGGUCCCUGGCAAUGACUGUUGGGUACAAACUGCAAAGCUUUGUUCUGCGGGUAGGGCUGGGCUUUUCAUUGACCAUGGGUUGGAAUAGUUCUGUGGGCAUAGUGUGUCUUCGAAGCCACUAUGUUUUCUGCACUUGUGACUAGAGAGCACCUUGAUAGCUCAGUUGGUAGAGCGGUGGACUGUAAGAUGCUCCUUGUGUGAAACGCUGUGAUCCUAAGGUCGCUGGUUCAACUCCAGCUCCAAGCACCUCCUUGUCAUUGGAAAUACCCCCAAGCCUUGUCUUUAUCUGUCAACUCCUCCAAAAUGUCAAAACACAAAGAAGAUAACUCUUUCUUAAAUUUUCAACCAUCAAUUUUUUAUUCACCCAGCCUAAAAGUCCUGAUUAUCAGUUCUGGGUCCCUGGCAAUGACUGUUGGGUACAAACUGCAAAGCUUUGUUCUGCAGGUAGGGCUGGGCUUUUCAUUGACCAUGGGUUGGAAUAGUUCUGUGGGCAUAGUGUGUCUUCGAAGCCACUAUGUUUUCUGCACUUGUGACUAGAGAGCACCUUGAUAGCUCAGUUGGUAGAGCGGUGGACUGUAAGAUGCUCCUUGUGUGAAACGCCGUGAUCCUAAGCUCGCUGGUUCAACUCCAGCUCCAAGCACCUCCUUGUCAUUGGAAAUACCCCCAAGCCUUGUCUUUAUCUGUCAACUCCUCCAAAAUGUCAAAACACAAAGAAGAUAACUCUUUCUUAAAUUUUCAACCAUCAAUUUUUUAUUCACUCAGCCUAAAAGUCCUGAUUAUCAGUUCUGGGUCCCUGGCAAUGACUGUUGGGUACAAACUGCAAAGCUUUGUUCUGCAGGUAGGGCUGGGCUUUUCAUUGACCAUGGGUUGGAAUAGUUCUGUGGGCAUAGUGUGUCUUCGAAGCCACUAUGUUUUCUGCACUUGUGACUAGAGAGCACCUUGAUAGCUCAGUUGGUAGAGCGGUGGACUGUAAGAUGCUCCUUGUGUGAAACGCCGUGAUCCUAAGCUCGCUGGUUCAACUCCAGCUCCAAGCACCUCCUUGUCAUUGGAAAUACCCCCAAGCCUUGUCUUUAUCUGUCAACUCCUCCAAAAUGUCAAAACACAAAGAAGAUAACUCUUUCUUAAAUUUUCAACCAUCAAUUUUUUAUUCACCCAGCCUAAAAGUCCUGAAUAUCAGUUCUGGGUCCCUGGCAAUGACUGUUGGGUACAAACUGCAAAGCUUUGUUCUGCAGGUAGGGCUGGGCUUUUCAUUGACCAUGGGUUGGAAUAGUUCUGUGGGCAUAGUGUGUCUUCGAAGCCACUAUGUUUUCUGCACUUGUGACUAGAGAGCACCUUGAUAGCUCAGUUGGAAGAGAGGUGGACUGUAAGAUGCUCCUUGUGUGAAACGCCGUGAUCCUAAGGUCGCUGGUUCAACUCCAGCUCCAAGCACCUCCUUGUCAUUGGAAAUACCCCCAAGCCUUGUCUUUAUCUGUCAACUCCUCCAAAAUGUCAAAACACAAACAAGAUAACUCUUUCUUAAAUUUUCAACCAUCAAUUUUUUAUUCACUCAGCCUAAAAGUCCUGAUUAUCAGUUCUGGGUCCCUGGCAAUGACUGUUGGGUACAAACUGCAAAGCUUUGUUCUGCAGGUAGGGCUGGGCUUUUCAUUGACCAUGGGUUGGAAUAGUUCUGUGGGCAUAGUGUGUCUUCGAAGCCACUAUGUUUUCUGCACUUGUGACUAGAGAGCACCUUGAUAGCUCAGUUGGUAGAGCGGUGGACUGUAAGAUGCUCCUUGUGUGAAACGCUGUGAUCCUAAGGUCGCUGGUUCAACUCCAGCUCCAAGCACCUCCUUGUCAUUGGAAAUACCCCCAAGCCUUGUCUUUAUCUGUCAACUCCUCCAAAAUGUCAAAACACAAAGAAGAUAACUCUUUCUUAAAUUUUCAACCAUCAAUUUUUUAUUCACCCAGACUAAAAGUCCUGAUUAUCAGUUCUGGGUCCCUGGCAAUGACUGUUGGGUACAAACUGCAAAGCUUUGUUCUGCAGGUAGGGCUGGGCUUUUCAUUGACCAUGGGUUGGAAUAGUUCUGUGGGCAUAGUGUGUCUUCGAAGCCACUAUGUUUUCUGCACUUGUGACUAGAGAGCACCUUGAUAGCUCAGUUGGAAGAGAGGUGGACUGUAAGAUGCUCCUUGUGUGAAACGCCGUGAUCCUAAGGUCGCUGGUUCAACUCCAGCUCCAAGCACCUCCUUGUCAUUGGAAAUACCCCCAAGCCUUGUCUUUAUCUGUCAACUCCUCCAAAAUGUCAAAACACAAACAAGAUAACUCUUUCUUAAAUUUUCAACCAUCAAUUUUUUAUUCACUCAGCCUAAAAGUCCUGAUUAUCAGUUCUGGGUCCCUGGCAAUGACUGUUGGGUACAAACUGCAAAGCUUUGUUCUGCAGGUAGGGCUGGGCUUUUCAUUGACCAUGGGUUGGAAUAGUUCUGUGGGCAUAGUGUGUCUUCGAAGCCACUCUGUUUUCUGCACUUGUGACUAGAGAGCACCUUGAUAGCUCAGUUGGUAGAGCGGUGGACUGUAAGAUGCUCCUUGUGUGAAACGCUGUGAUCCUAAGGUCGCUGGUUCAACUCCAGCUCCAAGCACCUCCUUGUCAUUGGAAAUACCCCCAAGCCUUGUCUUUAUCUGUCAACUCCUCCAAAAUGUCAAAACACAAAGAAGAUAACUCUUUCUUAAAUUUUCAACCAUUAAUUUUUUAUUCGCCCAGCCUAAAAGUCCUGAUUAUCAGUUCUGGGUCCCUGGCAAUGACUGUUGGGUACAAACUGCAAAGCUUUGUUCUGCAGGUAGGGCUGGGCUUUUCAUUGACCAUGGGUUGGAAUAGUUCUGUGGGCAUAGUGUGUCUUCGAAGCCACUAUGUUUUCUGCACUUGUGACUAGAGAGCACCUUGAUAGCUCAGUUGGUAGAGCGGUGGACUGUAAGAUGCUCCUUGUGUGAAACGCCGUGAUCCUAAGGUCGCUGGUUCAACUCCAGCUCCAAGCACCUCCUUGUCAUUGGAAAUACCCCCAAGCCUUGUCUUUAUCUGUCAACUCCUCCAAAAUGUCAAAACACAAACAAGAUAACUCUUUCUUAAAUUUUCAACCAUCAAUUUUUUAUUCACUCAGCCUAAAAGUCCUGAUUAUCAGUUCUGGGUCCCUGGCAAUGACUGUUGGGUACAAACUGCAAAGCUUUGUUCUGCAGGUAGGGCUGGGCUUUUCAUUGACCAUGGGUUGGAAUAGUUCUGUGGGCAUAGUGUGUCUUCGAAGCCACUAUGUUUUCUGCACUUGUGACUAGAGAGCACCUUGAUAGCUCAGUUGGUAGAGCGGUGGACUGUAAGAUGCUCCUUGUGUGAAACGCUGUGAUCCUAAGGUCGCUGGUUCAACUCCAGCUCCAAGCACCUCCUUGUCAUUGGAAAUACCCCCAAGCCUUGUCUUUAUCUGUCAACUCCUCCAAAAUGUCAAAACACAAAGAAGAUAACUCUUUCUUAAAUUUUCAACCAUCAAUUUUUUAUUCACUCAGCCUAAAAGUCCUGAUUAUCAGUUCUGGGUCCCUGGCAAUGACUGUUGGGUACAAACUGCAAAGCUUUGUUCUGCAGGUAGGGCUGGGCUUUUCAUUGACCAUGGGUUGGAAUAGUUCUGUGGGCAUAGUGUGUCUUCGAAGCCACUAUGUUUUCUGCACUUGUGACUAGAGAGCACCUUGAUAGCUCAGUUGGUAGAGCGGUGGACUGUAAGAUGCUCCUUGUGUGAAACGCUGUGAUCCUAAGGUCGCUGGUUCAACUCCAGCUCCAAGCACCUCCUUGUCAUUGGAAAUACCCCCAAGCCUUGUCUUUAUCUGUCAACUCCUCCAAAAUGUCAAAACACAAACAAGAUAACUCUUUCUUAAAUUUUCAACCAUCAAUUUUUUAUUCACCCAGCCUAAAAGUCCUGAUUAUCAGUUCUGGGUCCCUGGCAAUGACUGUUGGGUACAAACUGCAAAGCUUUGUUCUGCAGGUAGGGCUGGGCUUUUCAUUGACCAUGGGUUGGAAUAGUUCUGUGGGCAUAGUGUGUCUUCGAAGCCACUAUGUUUUCUGCACUUGUGACUAGAGAGCACCUUGAUAGCUCAGUUGGUAGAGCGGUGGCCUGUAAGAUGCUCCUUGUGUGAAACGCUGUGAUCCUAAGGUCGCUGGUUCAACUCCAGCUCCAAGCACCUCCUUGUCAUUGGAAAUACCCCCAAGCCUUGUCUUUAUCUGUCAACUCCUCCAAAAUGUCAAAACACAAAGAAGAUAACUCUUUCUUAAAUUUUCAACCAUCAAUUUUUUAUUCACCCAGCCUAAAAGUCCUGAUUAUCAGUUCUGGGUCCCUGGCAAUGACUGUUGGGUACAAACUGCAAAGCUUUGUUCUGCAGGUAGGGCUGGGCUUUUCAUUGACCAUGGGUUGGAAUAGUUCUGUGGGCAAAGUGUGUCUUCGAAGCCACUAUGUUUUCUGCACUUGUGACUAGAGAGCACCUUGAUAGCUCAGUUGGUAGAGCGGUGGACUGUAAGAUGCUCCUUGUGUGGAACGCUGUGAUCCUAAGGUCGCUGGUUCAACUCCAGCUCCAAGCACCUCCUUGUCAUUGGAAAUACCCCCAAGCCUUGUCUUUAUCUGUCAACUCCUCCAAAAUGUCAAAACACAAACAAGAUAACUCUUUCUUAAAUUUUCAACCAUCAAUUUUUUAUUCACCCAGCCUAAAAGUCCUGAUUAUCAGUUCUGGGUCCCUGGCAAUGACUGUUGGGUACAAACUGCAAAGCUUUGUUCUGCAGGUAGGGCUGGGCUUUUCAUUGACCAUGGGUUGGAAUAGUUCUGUGGGCAUAGUGUGUCUUUGAAGCCACUAUGUUUUCUGCACUUGUAACUAGAGAGCACCUUCAUAGCUCAGUUGGUAGAGCGGUGGCCUGUAAGAUGCUCCUUGUGUGAAACGCUGUGAUCCUAAGGUCGCUGGUUCAACUCCACCUCCAAGCACCUCCUUGUCAUUGGAAAUACCCCCAAGCCUUGUCUUUAUCUGUCAACUCCUCCAAAAUGUCAAAACACAAACAAGAUAACUCUUUCUUAAAUUUUCAACCAUCAAUUUUUUAUUCGCCCAGCCUAAAAGUCCUGAUUAUCAGUUCUGGGUCCCUGGCAAUGACUGUUGGGUACAAACUGCAAAGCUUUGUUCUGCAGGUAGGGCUGGGCUUUUCAUUGACCAUGGGUUGGAAUAGUUCUGUGGGCAUAGUGUGUCUUUGAAGCCACUAUGUUUUCUGCACUUGUGACUAGAGAGCACCUUGAUAGCUCAGUUGUUAGAGCGGUGGACUGUAAGAUCCUCCUUGUGUGAAACGCUGUGAUCCUAAGGUCGCUGGUUCAACUCCACCUCCAAGCACCUCCUUGUCAUUGGAAAUACCCCCAAGCCUUGUCUUUAUCUGUCAACUCCUCCAAAAUGUCAAAACACAAACAAGAUAACUCUUUCUUAAAUUUUCAACCAUCAAUUUUUUAUUCACCCAGACUUAAAGUCCUGAUUAUCAGUUCUGGGUCCCUGGCAAUGACUGUUGGGUACAAACUGCAAAGCUUUGUUCUGCAGGUAGGGCUGGGCUUUUCAUUGACCGUGGGUUGGAAUAGUUCUGUGGGCAUAGUGUGUCUUCGAAGCCACUAUGUUUUCUGCACUUGUGACUAGAGAGCACCUUGAUAGCUCAGUUGGUAGAGCGGUGGACUGUAAGAUGCUCCUUGUGUGGAACGCUGUGAUCCUAAGGUCGCUGGUUCAACUCCAGCUCCAAGCACCUCCUUUUCAUUGGAAAUACCCCCAAGCCUUGUCUUUAUCUGUCAACUCCUCCAAAAUGUCAAAACACAAACAAGAUAACUCUUUCUUAAAUUUUCAACCAUCAAUUUUUUAUUCGCCCAGACUAAAAGUCCUGAUUAUCAGUUCUGGGUCCCUGGCAAUGACUGUUGGGUACAAACUGCAAAGCUUUGUUCUGCAGGUAGGGCUGGGCUUUUCAUUGACCAUGGGUUGGAAUAGUUCUGUGGGCAUAGUGUGUCUUCGAAGCCACUAUGUUUUCUGCACUUGUGACUAGAGAGCACCUUGAUAGCUCAGUUGGUAGAGCGGUGGACUGUAAGAUGCUCCUUGUGUGAAAUGCUGUGAUCCUAAGUUCGCUUGUUCAACUCCAGCUCCAAGCACCUCCUUGUCAUUGGAAAUACCCCCAAGCCUUGUCUUUAUCUGUCAACUCCUCCAAAAUGUCAAAACACAAAGAAGAUAACUCUUUCUUAAAUUUUCAACCAUCAAUUUUUUAUUCACUCAGCCUAAAAGUCCUGAUUAUCAGUUCUGGGUCCCUGGCAAUGACUGUUGGGUACAAACUGCAAAGCUUUGUUCUGCAGGUAGGGCUGGGCUUUUCAUUGACCAUGGGUUGGAAUAGUUCUGUGGGCAUAGUGUGUCUUCGAAGCCACUAUGUUUUCUGCACUUGUGACUAGAGAGCACCUUGAUAGCUCAGUUGGUAGAGCGGUGGACUGUAAGAUGCUCCUUGUGUGAAACGCUGUGAUCCUAAGUUCGCUGGUUCAACUCCAGCUCCAAGCACCUCCUUGUCAUUGGAAAUACCCCCAAGCCUUGUCUUUAUCUGUCAACUCCUCCAAAAUGUCAAAACACAAACAAGAUAACUCUUUCUUAAAUUUUCAACCAUCAAUUUUUUAUUCACCCAGCCUAAAAGUCCUGAUUAUCAGUUCUGGGUCCCUGGCAAUGACUGUUGGGUACAAACUGCAAAGCUUUGUUCUGCAGGUAGGGCUGGGCUUUUCAUUGACCAUGGGUUGGAAUAGUUCUGUGGGCAUAGUGUGUCUUCGAAGCCACUAUGUUUUCUGCACUUGUGACUAGAGAGCACCUUGAUAGCUCAGUUGGUAGAGCGGUGGACUGUAAGAUGCUCCUUGUGUGAAAUGCUGUGAUCCUAAGGUCGCUGGUUCAACUCCAGCUCCAAGCACCUCCUUGUCAUAGGAAAUACCCCCAAGCCUUGUCUUUAUCUGUCAACUCCUCCAAAAUGUCAAAACACAAACAAGAUAACUCUUUCUUAAAUUUUCAACCAUCAAUGUUUUAUUCACCCAGCCUAAAAGUCCUGAUUAUCAGUUCUGGGUCCCUGGCAAUGACUGUUGGGUACAAACUGCAAAGCUUUGUUCUGCAGGUAGGGCUGGGCUUUUCAUUGACCAUGGGUUGGAAUAGUUCUGUGGGCAUAGUGUGUCUUCGAAGCCACUAUGUUUUCUGCACUUGUGACUAGAGAGCACCUUGAUAGCUCAGUUGGUAGAGCGGUGGACUGUAAGAUGCUCCUUGUGGGAAACGCCGUGAUCCUAAGGUCGCUGGUUCAACUCCAGCUCCAAGCACCUCCUUGUCAUUGGAAAUACCCCCAAGCCUUGUCUUUAUCUGUCAACUCCUCCAAAAUGUCAAAACACAAAGAAGAUAACUCUUUCUUAAAUUUUCAACCAUCAAUUUUUUAUUCACCCAGCCUAAAAGUCCUGAUUAUCAGUUCUGGGUCCCUGGCAAUGACUGUUGGGUACAAACUGCAAAGCUUUGUUCUGCAGGUAGGGCUGGGCUUUUCAUUGACCAUGGGUUGGAAUAGUGCUGUGGGCAUAGUGUGUCUUCGAAGCCACUAUGUUUUCUGCACUUGUGACUAGAGAGCACCUUGAUAGCUCAGUUGGUAGAGCGGUGGACUGUAAGAUGCUCCUUGUGUGAAACGCUGUGAUCCUAAGUUCGCUGGUUCAACUCCAGCUCCAAGCACCUCCUUGUCAUUGGAAAUACCCCCAAGCCUUGUCUUUAUCUGUCAACUCCUCCAAAAUGUCAAAACACAAAGAAGAUAACUCUUUCUUAAAUUUUCAACCAUCAAUGUUUUAUUCACCCAGCCUAAAAGUCCUGAUUAUCAGUUCUGGGUCCCUGGCAAUGACUGUUGGGUACAAACUGCAAAGCUUUGUUCUGCAGGUAGGGCUGGGCUUUUCAUUGACCAUGGGUUGGAAUAGUUCUGUGGGCAUAGUGUGUCUUCGAAGCCACUAUGUUUUCUGCACUUGUGACUACAGAGCACCUUGAUAGCUCAGUUGGUAGAGCGGUGGACUGUAAGAUGCUCCUUGUGUGAAAUGCUGUGAUCCUAAGGUCGCUGGUUCAACUCCAGCUCCAAGCACCUCCUUGUCAUUGGAAAUACCCCAAAGCCUUGUCUUUAUCUGUCAACUCCUCCAAAAUGUCAAAACACAAAGACGAUAACUCUUUCUUAAAUUUUCAACCAUCAAUUUUUUAUUCACCCAGCCUAAAAGUCCUGAUUAUCAGUUCUGGGUCCCUGGCAAUGACUGUUGGGUACAAACUGCAAAGCUUUGUUCUGCAGGUAGGGCUGGGCUUUUCAUUGACCAUGGGUUGGAAUAGUUCUGUGGGCAUAGUGUGUCUUUGAAGCCACUAUGUUUUCUGCACUUGUGACUACAGAGCACCUUGAUAGCUCAGUUGGUAGAGCGGUGGACUGUAAGAUGCUCCUUGUGUGAAACGCCGUGAUCCUAAGGUCGCUGGUUCAACUCCAGCUCCAAGCACCCCCUUGUCAUUGGAAAUACCCCCAAGCCUUGUCUUUAUCUGUCAACUCCUCCAAAAUGUCAAAACACAAAGAAGAUAACUCUUUCUUAAAUUUUCAACCAUCAAUUUUUUAUUCACCCAGCCUAAAAGUCCUGAUUAUCAGUUCUGGGUCCCUGGCAAUGACUGUUGGGUACAAACUGCAAAGCUUUGUUCUGCGGAUAGGGCUGGGCUUUUCAUUGACCAUGGGUUGGAAUAGUUCUGUGGGCAUAGUGUGUCUUCGAAGCCACUAUGUUUUCUGCACUUGUGACUAGAGAGCACCUUGAUAGCUCAGUUGGUAGAGCGGUGGACUGUAAGAUGCUCCUUGUGUCAAACGCUGUGAUCCUAAGGUCGCUGGUUCAACUCCAGCUCCAAGCACCUCCUUGUCAUUGGAAAUACCCCCAAGCCUUGUCUUUAUCUGUCAACUCCUCCAAAAUGUCAAAACACAAACAAGAUAACUCUUUCUUAAAUUUUCAACCAUCAAUUUUUUAUUCGCCCAGCCUAAAAGUCCUGAUUAUCAGUUCUGGGUCCCUGGCAAUGACUGUUGGGUACAAACUGCAAAGCUUUGUUCUGCAGGUAGGGCUGGGCUUUUCAUUGACCAUGGGUUGGAAUAGUUCUGUGGGCAUAGUGUGUCUUUGAAGCCACUAUGUUUUCUGCACUUGUGACUAGAGAGCACCUUGAUAGCUCAGUUGUUAGAGCGGUGGACUGUAAGAUCCUCCUUGUGUGAAACGCUGUGAUCCUAAGGUCGCUGGUUCAACUCCACCUCCAAGCACCUCCUUGUCAUUGGAAAUACCCCCAAGCCUUGUCUUUAUCUGUCAACUCCUCCAAAAUGUCAAAACACAAAGAAGAUAACUCUUUCUUAAAUUUUCAACCAUCAAUUUUUUAUUCACCCAGACUAAAAGUCCUGAUUAUCAGUUCUGGGUCCCUGGCAAUGACUGUUGGGUACAAACUGCAAAGCUUUGUUCUGCAGGUAGGGCUGGGCUUUUCAUUGACCAUGGGUUGGAAUAGUUCUGUGGGCAUAGUGUGUCUUCGAAGCCACUAUGUUUUCUGCACUUGUGACUAGAGAGCACCUUGAUAGCUCAGUUGGUAGAGCGGUGGACUGUAAGAUGCUCCUUGUGUGGAACGCUGUGAUCCUAAGGUCGCUGGUUCAACUCCAGCUCCAAGCACCUCCUUUUCAUUGGAAAUACCCCCAAGCCUUGUCUUUAUCUGUCAACUCCUCCAAAAUGUCAAAACACAAAGAAGAUAACUCUUUCUUAAAUUUUCAACCAUCAAUUUUUUAUUCGCCCAGACUAAAAGUCCUGAUUAUCAGUUCUGGGUCCCUGGCAAUGACUGUUGGGUACAAACUGCAAAGCUUUGUUCUGCAGGUAGGGCUGGGCUUUUCAUUGACCAUGGGUUGGAAUAGUUCUGUGGGCAUAGUGUGUCUUCGAAGCCACUAUGUUUUCUGCACUUGUGACUAGAGAGCACCUUGAUAGCUCAGUUGGUAGAGCGGUGGACUGUAAGAUGCUCCUUGUGUGAAAUGCUGUGAUCCUAAGGUCGCUGGUUCAACUCCAGCUCCAAGCACCUCCUUGUCAUUGGAAAUACCCCCAAGCCUUGUCUUUAUCUGUCAACUCCUCCAAAAUGUCAAAACACAAAGAAGAUAACUCUUUCUUAAAUUUUCAACCAUCAAUUUUUUAUUCACUCAGCCUAAAAGUCCUGAUUAUCAGUUCUGGGUCCCUGGCAAUGACUGUUGGGUACAAACUGCAAAGCUUUGUUCUGCAGGUAGGGCUGGGCUUUUCAUUGACCAUGGGUUGGAAUAGUUCUGUGGGCAUAGUGUGUCUUCGAAGCCACUAUGUUUUCUGCACUUGUGACUAGAGAGCACCUUGAUAGCUCAGUUGGUAGAGCGGUGGACUGUAAGAUGCUCCUUGUGUGAAACGCUGUGAUCCUAAGUUCGCUGGUUCAACUCCAGCUCCAAGCACCUCCUUGUCAUUGGAAAUACCCCCAAGCCUUGUCUUUAUCUGUCAACUCCUCCAAAAUGUCAAAACACAAACAAGAUAACUCUUUCUUAAAUUUUCAACCAUCAAUGUUUUAUUCACCCAGCCUAAAAGUCCUGAUUAUCAGUUCUGGGUCCCUGGCAAUGACUGUUGGGUACAAACUGCAAAGCUUUGUUCUGCAGGUAGGGCUGGGCUUUUCAUUGACCAUGGGUUGGAAUAGUUCUGUGGGCAUAGUGUGUCUUCGAAGCCACUAUGUUUUCUGCACUUGUGACUAGAGAGCACCUUGAUAGCUCAGUUGGUAGAGCGGUGGACUGUAAGAUGCUCCUUGUGGGAAACGCCGUGAUCCUAAGGUCGCUGGUUCAACUCCAGCUCCAAGCACCUCCUUGUCAUUGGAAAUACCCCCAAGCCUUGUCUUUAUCUGUCAACUCCUCCAAAAUGUCAAAACACAAAGAAGAUAACUCUUUCUUAAAUUUUCAACCAUCAAUUUUUUAUUCACCCAGCCUAAAAGUCCUGAUUAUCAGUUCUGGGUCCCUGGCAAUGACUGUUGGGUACAAACUGCAAAGCUUUGUUCUGCAGGUAGGGCUGGGCUUUUCAUUGACCAUGGGUUGGAAUAGUGCUGUGGGCAUAGUGUGUCUUCGAAGCCACUAUGUUUUCUGCACUUGUGACUAGAGAGCACCUUGAUAGCUCAGUUGGUAGAGCGGUGGACUGUAAGAUGCUCCUUGUGUGAAACGCUGUGAUCCUAAGUUCGCUGGUUCAACUCCAGCUCCAAGCACCUCCUUGUCAUUGGAAAUACCCCCAAGCCUUGUCUUUAUCUGUCAACUCCUCCAAAAUGUCAAAACACAAAGAAGAUAACUCUUUCUUAAAUUUUCAACCAUCAAUGUUUUAUUCACCCAGCCUAAAAGUCCUGAUUAUCAGUUCUGGGUCCCUGGCAAUGACUGUUGGGUACAAACUGCAAAGCUUUGUUCUGCAGGUAGGGCUGGGCUUUUCAUUGACCAUGGGUUGGAAUAGUUCUGUGGGCAUAGUGUGUCUUCGAAGCCACUAUGUUUUCUGCACUUGUGACUACAGAGCACCUUGAUAGCUCAGUUGGUAGAGCGGUGGACUGUAAGAUGCUCCUUGUGUGAAAUGCUGUGAUCCUAAGGUCGCUGGUUCAACUCCAGCUCCAAGCACCUCCUUGUCAUUGGAAAUACCCCAAAGCCUUGUCUUUAUCUGUCAACUCCUCCAAAAUGUCAAAACACAAAGACGAUAACUCUUUCUUAAAUUUUCAACCAUCAAUUUUUUAUUCACCCAGCCUAAAAGUCCUGAUUAUCAGUUCUGGGUCCCUGGCAAUGACUGUUGGGUACAAACUGCAAAGCUUUGUUCUGCAGGUAGGGCUGGGCUUUUCAUUGACCAUGGGUUGGAAUAGUUCUGUGGGCAUAGUGUGUCUUUGAAGCCACUAUGUUUUCUGCACUUGUGACUACAGAGCACCUUGAUAGCUCAGUUGGUAGAGCGGUGGACUGUAAGAUGCUCCUUGUGUGAAACGCCGUGAUCCUAAGGUCGCUGGUUCAACUCCAGCUCCAAGCACCUCCUUGUCAUUGGAAAUACCCCCAAGCCUUGUCUUUAUCUGUCAACUCCUCCAAAAUGUCAAAACACAAAGAAGAUAACUCUUUCUUAAAUUUUCAACCAUCAAUUUUUUAUUCACCCAGCCUAAAAGUCCUGAUUAUCAGUUCUGGGUCCCUGGCAAUGACUGUUGGGUACAAACUGCAAAGCUUUGUUCUGCGGAUAGGGCUGGGCUUUUCAUUGACCAUGGGUUGGAAUAGUUCUGUGGGCAUAGUGUGUCUUCGAAGCCACUAUGUUUUCUGCACUUGUGACUAGAGAGCACCUUGAUAGCUCAGUUGGUAGAGCGGUGGACUGUAAGAUGCUCCUUGUGUCAAACGCUGUGAUCCUAAGGUCGCUGGUUCAACUCCAGCUCCAAGCACCUCCUUGUCAUUGGAAAUACCCCAAAGCCUUGUCUUUAUCUGUCAACUCCUCCAAAAUGUCAAAACACAAAGAAGAUAACUCUUUCUUAAAUUUUCAACCAUCAAUUUUUUAUUCACCCAGCCUAAAAGUCCUGAUUAUCAGUUCUGGGUCCCUGGCAAUGACUGUUGGGUACAAACUGCAAAGCUUUGUUCUGCAGGUAGGGCUGGGCUUUUCAUUGACCAUGGGUUGGAAUAGUUCUGUGGGCAUAGUGUGUCUUCGAAGCCACUAUGUUUUCUGCACUUGUGACUAGAGAGCACCUUGAUAGCUCAGUUGGUAGAGCGGUGGACUGUAAGAUGCUCCUUGUGGGAAACGCCGUGAUCCUAAGUUCGCUGGUUCAACUCCAGCUCCAAGCACCUCCUUGUCAUUGGAAAUACCCCAAAGCCUUGUCUUUAUCUGUCAACUCCUCCAAAAUGUCAAAACACAAACAAGAUAACUCUUUCUUAAAUUUUCAACCAUCAAUUUUUUAUUCACCCAGACUAAAAGUCCUGAUUAUCAGUUCUGGGUCCCUGGCAAUGACUGUUGGGUACAAACUGCAAAGCUUUGUUCUGCAGGUAGGGCUGGGCUUUUAAUUGACCAUGGGUUGGAAUAGUUCUGUGGGCAUAGUGUGUCUUCGAAGCCACUAUGUUUUCUGCACUUGUGACUAGAGAGCACCUUGAUAGCUCAGUUGGUAGAGCGGUGAACUGUAAGAUGCUCCUUGUGUGAAACGCUGUGAUCCUCAGGUCGCUGGUUAAACUCCAGCUCCAAGCACCUCCUUGUCAUUGGAAAUACCCCCAAGCCUUGUCUUUAUCUGUCAACUCCUCCAAAAUGUCAAAACACAAAGAAGAUUACUCUUUCUUAAAUUUUCAACCAUCAAUUUUUUAUUCACCCAGCCUAAAAGUCCUGAUUAUCAGUUCUGGGUCCCUGGCAAUGACUGUUGGGUACAAACUGCAAAGCUUUGUUCUGCAGGUAGGGCUGGGCUUUUCAUUGACCAUGGGUUGGAAUAGUUCUGUGGGCAUAGUGUGUCUUCGAAGCCACUAUGUUUUCUGCACUUGUGACUAGAGAGCACCUUGAUAGCUCAGUUGGUAGAGCGGUGGACUGUAAGAUGCUCCUUGUGUGAAACGCUGUGAUCCUAAGGUCGCUGGUUCAACUCCAGCUCCAAGCACCUCCUUGUCAUUGGAAAUACCCCAAAGCCUUGUCUUUAUCUGUCAACUCCUCCAAAAUGUCAAAACACAAAGAAGAUAACUCUUUCUUAAAUUUUCAACCAUCAAUGUUUUAUUCACCCAGUCUAAAAGUCCUGAUUAUCAGUUCUGGGUCCCUGGCAAUGACUGUUGGGUACAAACUGCAAAGCUUUGUUCUGCAGGUAGGGCUGGGCUUUUCAUUGACCAUGGGUUGGAAUAGUUCUGUGGGCAUAGUGUGUCUUCGAAACCACUAUGUUUUCUGCACUUGUGACUAGAGAGCACUUUGAUAGCUCAGUUGGUAGAGCGGUGCACUGUAAGAUGCUCCUUGUGUGAAACGCUGUGAUCCUAAGGUCGCUGGUUCAACUCCAGCUCCAAGCACCUCCUUGUCAUUGGAAAUACCCCCAAGCCUUGUCUUUAUCUGUCAACUCCUCCAAAAUGUCAAAACACAAAGAAGAUAACUCUUUCUUAAAUUUUCAACCAUCAAUGUUUUAUUCACCCAGCCUAAAAGUCCUGAUUAUCAGUUCUGGGUCCCUGGCAAUGACUGUUGGGUACAAACUGCAAAGCUUUGUUCUGCAGGUAGGGCUGGGCUUUUCAUUGACCAUGGGUUGGAAUAGUUCUGUGGGCAUAGUGUGUCUUCGAAGCCACUAUGUUUUCUGCACUUGCGACUAGAGAGCACCUUGAUAGAGAGCGGUGGACUGUAAGAUGCUCCUUGUGUGAAACGCUGUGAUCCUAAGGUCGCUGGUUCAACUCCAGCUCCAAGCACCUCCUUGUCAUUGGAAAUACCCCCAAGCCUUGUCUUUAUCUGUCAACUCCUCCAAAAUGUCAAAACACAAAGAAGAUAACUCUUUCUUAAAUUUUCAACCAUCAAUGUUUUAUUCACCCAGCCUAAAAGUCCUGAUUAUCAGUUCUGGGUCCCUGGCAAUGACUGUUGGGUACAAACUGCAAAGCUUUGUUCUGCAGGUAGGGCUGGGCUUUUCAUUGACCAUGGGUUGGAAUAGUUCUGUGGGCAUAGUGUGUCUUCGAGGCCACUAUGUUUUCUGCACUUGUGACUAGAGAGCACCUUGAUAGCUCAGUUGGUAGAGCGGUGGACUGUAAGAUGCUCCUUGUGUGAAACGCUGUGAUCCUAAGUUCGCUGGUUCAACUCCAGCUCCAAGCACCUCCUUGUCAUUGGAAAUACCCCCAAGCCUUUUCUUUAUCUGUCAACUCCUCCAAAAUGUCAAAACACAAAGAAGAUAACUCUUUCUUAAAUUUUCAACCAUCAAUGUUUUAUUCACCCAGUCUAAAAGUCCUGAUUAUAAGUUCUGGGUCCCUGGCAAUGACUGUUGGGUACAAACUGCAAAGCUUUGUUCUGCAGGUAGGGCUGGGCUUUUCAUUGACCAUGGGUUGGAAUAGUUCUGUGGGCAUAGUGUGUCUUCGAAGCCACUAUGUUUUCUGCACUUGUGACUAGAGAGCACUUUGAUAGCUCAGUUGGUAGAGCGGUGCACUGUAAGAUGCUCCUUGUGUGAAACGCUGUGAUCCUAAGUUCGCUGGUUCAACUCCAGCUCCAAGCACCUCCUUGUCAUUGGAAAUACCCCCAAGCCUUUUCUUUAUCUGUCAACUCCUCCAAAAUGUCAAAACACAAAGAAGAUAACUCUUUCUUAAAUUUUCAACCAUCAAUGUUUUAUUCACCCAGUCUAAAAGUCCUGAUUAUAAGUUCUGGGUCCCUGGCAAUGACUGUUGGGUACAAACUGCAAAGCUUUGUUCUGCAGGUAGGGCUGGGCUUUUCAUUGACCAUGGGUUGGAAUAGUUCUGUGGGCAUAGUGUGUCUUCGAAGCCACUAUGUUUUCUGCACUUGUGACUAGAGAGCACUUUGAUAGCUCAGUUGGUAGAGCGGUGCACUGUAAGAUGCUCCUUGUGUGAAACGCUGUGAUCCUAAGUUCGCUGGUUCAACUCCAGCUCCAAGCACCUCCUUGUCAUUGGAAAUACCCCCAAGCCUUGUCUUUAUCUGUCAACUCCUCCAAAAUGUCAAAACACAAAGAAGAUAACUCUUUCUUAAAUUUUCAACCAUCAAUGUUUUAUUCACCCAGUCUAAAAGUCCUGAUUAUCAGUUCUGGGUCCCUGGCAAUGACUGUUGGGUACAAACUGCAAAGCUUUGUUCUGCAGGUAGGGCUGGGCUUUUCAUUGACCAUGGGUUGGAAUAGUUCUGUGGGCAUAGUGUGUCUUCGAAGCCACUAUGUUUUCUGCACUUGUGACUAGAGAGCACCUUGAUAGCUCAGUUGGUAGAGCGGUUGACUGUAAGAUGCUCCUUGUGUGAAACGCUGUGAUCCUAAGGUCGCUGGUUCAACUCCAGCUCCAAGCACCUCCUUGUCAUUGGAAAUACCCCCAAGCCUUGUCUUUAUCUGUCAACUCCUCCAAAAUGUCAAAACACAAAGAAGAUAACUCUUUCUUAAAUUUUCAACCAUCAAUGUUUUAUUCACCCAGUCUAAAAGUCCUGAUUAUCAGUUCUGGGUCCCUGGCAAUGACUGUUGGGUACAAACUGCAAAGCUUUGUUCUGCAGGUAGGGCUGGGCUUUUCAUUGACCAUGGGUUGGAAUAGUUCUGUGGGCAUAGUGUGUCUUCGAAGUCACUAUGUUUUCUGCACUUGUGACUAGAGAGCACCUUGAUAGCUCAGUUGGUAGAGCGGUGGACUGUAAGAUGCUCCUUGUGUGAAACGCUGUGAUCCUAAGGUCGCUGGUUCAACUCCAGCUCCAAGCACCUCCUUGUCAUUGGAAAUACCCCCAAGCCUUGUCUUUAUCUGUCAACUCCUCCAAAAUGUCAAAACACAAAGAAGAUAACUCUUGCUUAAAUUUUCAACCAUCAAUGUUUUAUUCACCCAGCCUAAAAGUCCUGAUUAUCAGUUCUGGGUCCCUGGCAAUGACUGUUGGGUACAAACUGCAAAGCUUUGUUCUGCAGGUAGGGCUGGGCUUUUCAUUGACCAUGGGUUGGAAUAGUUCUGUGGGCAUAGUGUGUCUUCGAAGCCACUAUGUUUUCUGCACUUGUGACUAGAGAGCACCUUGAUAGCUCAGUUGGUAGAGCGGUGGACUGUAAGAUGCUCCUUGUGUGAAACGCUGUGAUCCUAAGGUCGCUGGUUCAACUCCAGCUCCAAGCACCUCCUUGUCAUUGGAAAUACCCCCAAGCCUUGUCUUUAUCUGUCAACUCCUCCAAAAUGUCAAAACACAAAGAAGAUAACUCUUGCUUAAAUUUUCAACCAUCAAUGUUUUAUUCACCCAGCCUAAAAGUCCUGAUUAUCAGUUCUGGGUCCCUGGCAAUGACUGUUGGGUACAAACUGCAAAGCUUUGUUCUGCAGGUAGGGCUGGGCUUUUCAUUGACCAUGGGUUGGAAUAGUUCUGUGGGCAUAGUGUGUCUUCGAAGCCACUAUGUUUUCUGCACUUGUGACUAGAGAGCACCUUGAUAGCUCAGUUGGUAGAGCGGUGGACUGUAAGAUGCUCCUUGUGUGAAACGCUGUGAUCCUAAGGUCGCUGGUUCAACUCCAGCUCCAAGCACCUCCUUGUCAUUGGAAAUACCCCCAAGCCUUGUCUUUAUCUGUCAACUCCUCCAAAAUGUCAAAACACAAAGAAGAUAACUCUUUCUUAAAUUUUCAACCAUCAAUGUUUUAUUCACCCAGCCUAAAAGUCCUGAUUAUCAGUUCUGGGUCCCUGGCAAUGACUGUUGGGUACAAACUGCAAAGCUUUGUUCUGCAGGUAGGGCUGGGCUUUUCAUUGACCAUGGGUUGGAAUAGUUCUGUGGGCAUAGUGUGUCUUCGAAGCCACUAUGUUUUCUGCACUUGUGACUAGAGAGCACCUUGAUAGCUCAGUCGUUAGAGCGGUGGACUGUAAGAUGCUCCUUGUGUCAAACGCAGUGAUCCUAAGGUCGCUGGUUCAACUCCAGCUCCAAGCACCUCCUUGUCAUUGGAAAUACCCCCAAGCCUUGUCUUUAUCUGUCAACUCCUCCAAAAUGUCAAAACACAAACAAGAUAACUCUUUCUUAAAUUUUCAACCAUCAAUUUUUUAUUCACCCAGCCUAAAAGUCCUGAUUAUCAGUUCUGGCUCCCUGGCAAUGACUGUUGGGUACAAACUGCAAAUCUUUGUUCUGCAGGUAGGGCUGGGCUUUUCAUUGACCAUGGGUUGGAAUAGUUCUGUGGGCAUAGUGUGUCUUCGAAGCCACUAUGUUUUCUGCACUUGUGACUAGAGAGCACCUUGAUAGCUCAGUUGGUAGAGCGGUGGACUGUAAGAUGCUCCUUGUGUCAAACGCCGUGAUCCUAAGGUCGCUGGUUCAACUCCAUCUCCAAGCAGCUCCUUGUCAUUGGAAAUACCCCCAAGCCUUGUCUUUAUCUGUCAACUCCUCCAAAAUGUCAAAACACAAACAAGAUAACUCUUUCUUAAAUUUUCAACCAUCAAUUUUUUAUUCACCCAGCCUAAAAGUCCUGAUUAUCAGUUCUGGGUCCCUGGCAAUGACUGUUGGGUAAAAACUGCAAAGCUUUGUUCUGCAGGUAGGGCUGGGCUUUUCAUUGACCAUGGGUUGGAAUAGUUCUGUGGGCAUAGUGUGUCUUCGAAGCCACUAUGUUUUCUGCACUUGUGACUAGAGAGCACCUUGAUAGCUCAGUUGGUAGAGCGGUGGACUGUAAGAUGCUCCUUGUGUGAAACGCUGUGAUCCUAAGGUCGUUGGUUCAACUCCAGCUCCAAGCACCUCCUUGUCAUUGGAAAUACCCCCAAGCCUUGUCUUUAUCUGUCAACUCCUCCAAAAUGUCAAAACACAAAGAAGAUAACUCUUUCUUAAAUUUUCAACCAUCAAUUUUUUAUUCACCCAGCCUAAAAGUCCUGAUUAUCAGUUCUGGGUCCCUGGCAAUGACUGUUGGGUACAAACUGCAAAUCUUUGUUC